GAUGAACGCUGGCGGCGUGCCUAAUACAUGCAAGUCGAGCGAACAGACGAGGAGCUUGCUCCUCUGACGUUAGCGGCGGACGGGUGAGUAACACGUGGAUAACCUACCUAUAAGACUGGGAUAACUUCGGGGAACCGGAGCUAAUACCGGAUAAUAUAUUGAACCGCAUGGUUCAAUAGUGAAAGACGGUUUUGCUGUCACUUAUAGAUGGAUCCGCGCCGCAUUAGCUAGUUGCAAGGUAACGGCUUACCAAGGCAACGAUGCGUAGCCGACCUGAGAGGGUGAUCGGCCACACUGGAACUGAGACACGGUCCAGACUCCUACGGGAGGCAGCAGUAGGGAAUCUUCCGCAAUGGGCGAAAGCCUGACGGAGCAACGCCGCGUGAGUGAUGAAGGUCUUCGGAUCGUAAAACUCUGUUAUUAGGGAAGAACAAAUGUGUAAGUAACUAUGCACGUCUUGACGGUACCUAAUCAGAAAGCCACGGCUAACUACGUG
rnacentral:rRNA from 1 species